CGUUAGAUCAAGAAAGACUAAAAAUACGAAGACAGCUUACAGUUACUGAGAUUUUUCACUAUGGCUCUUUACUGGAAAAUGUUCGCUUUGCUUCUGACCGCGUACUGUGCUGCUUCACGAAGUCUCGAUAGUGAGGGGAAAAUGGGAUUUCGAAGUGUG